rnacentral:rRNA from 1 species
UACGAAGGGUGCAAACGUUGCUCGGAAUUAUUGGGCGUAAAGCGCACGUAGGCGGCUUAGCAAGUUGGAUGUGAAGUCCCUCGGCUCAACCAAGGAAGUGCAUCCAAAACUGCUGAGCUUGAGUACUUAAGAGGAUCGCGGAAUUCCCGGUGUAGAGGUGAAAUUCGUAGAUAUCGGGAGGAACACCAGUGGCGAAGGCGGCGUCUGGGAAGAUACUGACGCUGAGGUGCGAAAGCGUGGGGAGCAAACAGG